rnacentral:rRNA from 2 species
UUUCUGGACUUGACAUAGUAAGAAUGAUUUAGAGAUAGAUUAGUGUCUGCUUGCAGAAACUUGCAUACAGGUGCUGCACGGCUGUCGUCAGCUCGUGUCGUGAGAUGUUGGGUUAAGUCCCGCAACGAGCGCAACCCUCGUCCUUAGUUGCUAACAGUUCGGCUGAGAACUCUAAGGAGACUGCCUACGCAAGUAGGAGGAAGGUGAGGAUGACGUCAAGUCAUCAUGGCCCUUACGUCCAGGGCUACACACGUGCUACAAUGGGGUAUACAAAGAGCAGCAAUACGGUGACGUGGAGCAAAUCUCAAAAAUGCCUCCCAGUUCGGAUUGUAGUCUGCAACUCGACUACAUGAAGUUUGGAAUCGCUAGUAAUCGUAGAUCAGCUAUGCUACGGUGAAUAC